CAGCGGCCCAGUCGUGGAGUCCCCAAGCCCAACGAGAAACCUAGCGAGUAGCGACAAGCCACGAAGCCAUUGCAGCUCCACCUCCGCUGCUCCCUCAGACCCUCACCCAUUCGCCGCCGCCGCCAGUCGCCCGCCACGCAGCAAGCCAUCAAACGAGCAUCGCCGAACCGGUCGCCGGUUUGAAUCCGCCGAGGCGUCGUCCGUUGUCUUGAUUCCAUCCACGCCGACGACCGCAACUCGUUUGGAUUCGGCUGCUCCGUAGCCGCCGCGAGCCCGCGAAGUCGCGAACCUCCUCCAGUCCUCCUUCGCCCUACCACCGAAGAACAAUAACGCCAGCCGGCCAGCCACGUCGAGCCGUCGAUUGGAUUCGUGUCUGGAUCUGGAACUCUGGAUUCGCGUCGUUCGUCCUUGGUCUGGAUUCGUGUCGAUUGGAGCCCGUGAACCUCCUCCUUGGUUGCGAAGCUUUUCUCUUGCCCUUGAACUUGGCUCAUAUUUACCUGCUUUUGCCAUUGCACCUAAACCCCAUCCCAACCAGCUCACUCGCGCAAGGGUUUGGAGAUUUGUGCGUCGUCGGGUAACCGCGCAGCCGCUCGUCGCCCCUCUCCACAUGGAGAACCCUCUCGACGCCAGGAAUCGACGCCACCCCAGCCACCUUGUUACCGUGGCUGCUCUAACGCGUCCACUCCUUUUGCCGGAUCCAGAUGGGAAGCCACCGCCUCUAGACGUCCGCUCCUCGUUCCCUGUCGCCGUUUGCCAUUCCCUGCCGGUUUUCAUCCACGCCUGAGGCCGCCCCUCGGAGCUUAUCGCCAACGUUGGCCACAACACUGGCAAAAUUACGCUCCUCCAACCAUGGAUCCGAGAUCGCAGCAUUUGUUUGGUGGUGCAGGCCGAGAGAUUGGUGGAACUCCAGAAAUGGAGGGAGGCCGGAAGGCAGCAGUGGUGGACUUCUCUGUCACAGAUGCCAAGGUGGUCUGCAAUCUUGUGCGACGGAACGAAUCCGUGGUCAGGAAGAAGCGGAGAUAUCUGCUGUCAAUGUCUCCCGGACCAGAUGGUCACAUCAAGCACGUGAAGCGGCCCAAAUUCAUGAAAGAAGUAUACGUGGCUGAGUCAUAUGUCAGGGGGGAUGAGCUAUCUUGCGAGAGAGUAAGAACCCAUGUUGAAAGAUGUUUUGGUUUGGAUCGCAAUGGCUGCAAUCACCACAUAGUUCAGGAUGGUAUACAGCUUUUUAACCUGCAAAAAGAAGAGGAUGGCUCUCUUACUCCGAACAGUUUGAAGAUCAUGCACCGUACAAUCAACAAGCUAAGCCUUGAAGCACUUCAUUCAGUUGCUUGUAUUGUCACCCAUAAUAGGAUUAGUUUUGAGAAGACUGGGCCAAGAAUGAAAAAUAUCAUAAAGGACCACCUCCGAGCUUACUUGUCCCGAUUAGAUAAUGAAGACAGCAACUCUCAGUUGUCCCAGAUUUUAACUAAUCUGUCCAGUUAUCAGUCUGAUUGCGUGACCAUUGCAACACCUGUUACACCAAGACUGUUGACAUCAUUAAACCAAGCUUUAGCUGGACUCAAGGCAUUGCCCAUGCAAGCUCUUGUUGCAAUGAAUAGGAAGCUUAGAGAAGAAUCAUGUCCCCCAAGAUUUGGGAAUGAAGGUCGAGCUGCCACAAGCUGGCAUAUUGCUGAAGUGAUAAAGAAAAGGUGUGAUAAGAUCAUAUCAAAGCUUGGGGAAGGUAUUGACCUGCCAAAGCAUUUAGCAAAAGCAAUGUCAGUGGUGAACCUAUGUCGGAAGGAAGAUUUGAGAUGCAUGGAUAUUUCACAUUCGGAGUUCUUUCCAUUUUCAAAGCAGGUUAUCUCCUUGCAGAAUGAUGUCCUGAAUGCUCUGUGGUCACUUGAAGAAAUGAAGCAUGAUAAGCUGAAACUGCUCCGUCCAAUAUUGCAUCAAAGCUUGAAAGAUAAGAGAAAGAACAGGAGGUUCAGUAUAGAUGUGAGACAUUAUUUGGUAGAAUGUUUGUUUGAAUGUGAUGAAGGUAAUUUACCAGAUAAGGCACUGCAAGUCAUUGCUUUUUUCCAUCGCAUGUCUCGCAAUCAAGCUAUGCCCACGGAAGAGACAAAGGAAGCAGAGAUAGAGGCUGUCUUGAAUUUAAGCAGUCAGCUCAGAGCUGUAACAUGUUAUGAUGCAGCAGGAGACCCCAUUGAUGAUCUGUUAAUGAAGUCAUGGAGUGCAUGCCCAAGUGAUGAUCACCUUAUAAACUUAGAUAGUGAAGACUGCAGCAAGGAUAAUGACUUCAUACUCACAGAGACCAAUUACUUCAAUUUUGGUUCUCAGCAGAAUGUGGAUGAGCCCUGUAGUUCCAAUAGCUUGCCUAAUGCUGCUGAUAUGAGUGGACAAUAUUCAAGUGGAACUAUAGGUGGUGCACAUUGUGUUCCCAAGGCUAAAGAUUUUGAAUCCAUGUUCGAUACUCGUGGGAGAUGUCGUGGAUGGAGUGGAUACGCUGCAGGUGUGCGGCAUUUCAGAGACAGUGAAGCUGCUGGUAGCGUGACGGAGCCUCAUUUGAGUAAUAAUGUUGGUGCAAGCAAUGUGGAAACGACUAGAUGCUCUAAAGGUCGCCCUGAGAUAUGUGAUGAGACUGCAGUGGAUGCCCACAAGCUUAUCGGACUUGUUCUGGAAAACAUGUUGCUUCCAGAAAACAAGGCUGAUGAACUCACGGGACAUUGUCUUGGAGAAGGUUGUAUUUCUCAAGGUCCUCAAGCUCUUGUGGCAGAGGACAACCAAAGCGCUGACAUUGUGAUUAAUGCUGUAAAGAGCAUCUUGCCUAAUUUAUCGAAAAGCUGCAUUGAAAAAGUUAGGAGGAUACUUAAUGGUGGUGAGCAGUGAGGACAGUCUUCAGGUACAGGCUGUUGGAGAGGGUUCAAGGUAGCCUGGAGGGUUCAAUAGUACUGAUUUUUGGAGUGUGGAGUGGAGCUCAUUUAGUCAAACUUUAAAAAGUGAUCUUUCAAGUGGCAAUGCCUUUUUGGUCGUUGCUGAAUUCAUUCACUUGCAUGGUACUUCCCAACUUUAGCUUUCUAUUAAGAUCCAGGAUGUAAUACCUAAUUGUUGAAUGGCACUAGGAGGAAUUCUAAAAUUCUCAUCGAAGAUGUAUGGGCUGUGGUACUUCGGCUAUAGUGUAAAAUUGUGAAAUUUCACCCUUUGACUCGGGUUGGAUGAUCAAUCAAACGGAUAGAUAUCUGCAAAUCCAUGGAAAAAAGAUGGUUUUUUUUUUAUCAAGGUGGUUUCAUUUGAAAAAUUGGCACCUUGGAAUUUAGUACUGGUGCAUAUAUUUCUGUUUGAGAGGGAUACACAGUCAUCUGAUAAGAUAGUUGUAAAUUGAGUGCAUUGCAAGACUAAUCACGUGCCAGAUUUUCAUUUUCUUUUUCGCAGAUAUAUUGUCAUAGAUAAGAUUACUUGUUACUAACUAUGUCAGACAAAUCCUUGCAAUGGAAAUUUAAGUUGAUUA